UACAGAGGGGCAAGCGUUAUUCGGAAUUAUUGGCGUAAAGGGCGCGUAGGCGGCUUGGCAAGUGGAUGGUGAAAUCCCUCGGCUUAACCGAGGAACUGCCGUCCAAACUGCUUCGCUUGAGACCGGGAGAGGUGAGUGGAAUUCCCAGUGUAGCGGUGAAAUGCGUAGAUAUCUGGAGGAACACCGGUGGCGAAGGCGGCAUCCUGGACCGGUAGUGACGCUGAGGCGCGAAAGCUAGGGGAGCAA
rnacentral:rRNA from 1 species